rnacentral:ncRNA from 1 species
UUGGUUAGAACUCGUAUCAGGUUGUCCUGCAACGGGGCAACACUUCCAGCUCGCCACGCCGGCAGCGAGCGCAUAACCGGCAGAACGACUCUGCCCGGCCUCAGCCGAGGCCGACGGGACAUUACAGUCAAC